AAGUCGUAACAAGGUUUCCGUAGGUGAACCUGCGGAAGGAUCAUUAAAAGAGAUAGGGGUCUUCAUGGCCCGACCUCCAACCCUCUGUUGUUAUAACUACCUUUGUUGCUUUGGCGGGGCCGUCUCGGGUCCUCCGAGCGCACUAAACCCCUCGGGGUUGGUGAGCGCCCCGCCAGAGUCCAACCCAAAACUCUUGUAUUAAACCAGUCGUCUGAGUAUAAAAUUUUAAUUAAAUUAAAAA
rnacentral:misc_RNA from 1 species